rnacentral:rRNA from 1 species
UACGUAGGGUGCAAGCGUUGUCCGGAAUUAUUGGGCGUAAAGCGCGCGCAGGCGGUCCUUUUAAGUCUGAUGUGAAAGCCCACGGCUCAACCGUGGAGGGUCAUUGGAAACUGGGGGACUUGAGUGCAGGAGAGAAGAGUGGAAUUCCACGUGUAGCGGUGAAAUGCGUAGAGAUGUGGAGGAACACCAGUGGCGAAGGCGACUCUUUGGCCUGUAACUGACGCUUGAGGCGCGAAAAGCGUGGGGAGCAAACAGG